rnacentral:rRNA from 1 species
GAUGAACGCUGGCGGCGUGCCUAAUACAUGCAAGUCGAGCGAACGGACGAGAAGCUUGCUUCUCUGAUGUUAGCGGCGGACGGGUGAGUAACACGUGGAUAACCUACCUAUAAGACUGGGAUAACUUCGGGAAACCGGAGCUAAUACCGGAUGAUAUUUUGAACCGCAUGGUUCAAAAGUGAAAGACGGUCUUGCUGUCACUUAUAGAUGGAUCCGCGCUGCAUUAGCUAGUUGGUAAGGUAACGGCUUACCAAGGCAACGAUGCAUAGCCGACCUGAGAGGGUGAGCGGCCACACUGGAAUUGAGCCGCGGUCCAGACUCCUAGGGGAGGCAGCAGUGGGGAAUCUUCCGCAAUGGGCGAAGGCCUGCCUGAGCAACGCCGCGUGGGUGAUGAAGGUCUUCGGAUCGUAAAACUCUGUUAUUAGGGAAGAACAUAUGUGUAAGUAACUGUGCACAUCUUGACGGUACCUAAUCAGAAAGCCACGGCUAACUACGUG